rnacentral:misc_RNA from 1 species
UACCUGGGUAAUUGUCCAAUUUUCUGAUGUUCUGUAACAAUCUUUACUGUACAGCACCCAUUUUACAUCAUCCUUGAAUUCAUGAGAGAAGUUGUGAUUGAUACAUGUACAUAUUACCUCAGAUAUUAAUUUUCGUUUUCUUUUAAUCAUGUUUAAUUGACUAAAUGGCAUGUCUGAGGUUUUAUAAUCCUUGACUUGUUGGAACAUAUGUACUAAUGGAUCAUAAAGUUCAUCUGUGAUAAGAAUUAUAUCAUUUGCUGGAGACAAAUGAGAUUUCUUGUUCUUUCUUAGUUUCAGUGUACAUAGGAACCUAUAUAUGUUAAUUUUAUUAUGGGUUUUUUUUUUUUUAAAUAAAAUGAUUUUGAUGGUAAAUUUUUUCCAGGUACAUUGGUAUAGUGGAUAUGUACAUAGUUAGCAAUUGUCAAUUGAAAAUAUAAACACCAGAUAAAUGUAGGCAAAUUAAUAUUUCAUCAUUGUAGCCCAUUAUCAUCAAAAGAACCAGUCAAAAAGAAAAUUGAUUAAUAUUUGGGUUUUUUAUCUUAUAUGUAUCUGAAACACAUUGCUUACCAUUUUAGGUGUAUUAAUAAAUUCAUCAUACAUGUAUGUUGGAAAAACAUUGGAAAAUGUUUAAUCUUGGUUUUAUUUAAUAGUUUAUGAAUGAAUCUCCUGUAUAAGACCCGUGUGUGCAAGUCCUUCUGUCAACAGACUCUGUUCAGUAUAUGCAAUGCCCAGCAAUGCAAAUUGUAAUAUAGAGCACCUAACUGUGUAACUGUUCUUAUUUUUUGUGGUACAACUUUUCCAAUGAUUCACCAACAAAUCAUUUUUUGUAUUUUGUUUUUCAAUAUGUGUACACUAUCUCUGAAUGCAAGUCACUAAUUACAAGAAAUUCCUUACAAGGUUAUUUGGGAGGUUAUGUUCCUAGCCUUUCUGUUGAUGUGUACACACAAAUUCAAGCUGACUUGUGAAUAAAUUUUUUACUAGCAU